UACGUAGGUGGCAAGCGUUGUCCGGAUUUAUUGGGUUUAAAGGGUGCGUAGGCGGUCUUAUAAGUCAGUGCUGAAAUAUCCCGGCUUAGCCGGGAGGGUGGCAUUGAUGCUGUAGGACUUGAGUAAAGUUGAGGUUGGCGGAAUUGACGGUGUAGCGGUGAAAUGCUUAGAUAUCGUCAAGAACACCUAUAGCGAAGGCAGCUAACUAAACUUUAACUGACGCUGAGGCACGAAAGUGUGGGGAUCAAACAGG
rnacentral:rRNA from 1 species